CUAAUUUAAGAUUUUUUUUCUUCUUCUACACAUUUUUUUUCUUCUUCUAUUUCUCCAACUCAACAGAACCAAGGAUACCCAAAUUCAAGUUGCAGAAAUGGAAAGUUUCUAUUGGACAUUUCGUCGAACUUUUGAUUGACAAAGAAAAAGAAACAAAGGAACACUUUAUCUCAAAUACUUCACAGGAACAAGUAGAUACUCAUUCUUCUUGCUCACAGUGAGCCUAGGAGCUUCUUCCAUGUCGAUUAGCUUUGACUGUCUCAUGCCGUCUGGUAAACUUCCAGUCAAAUUGAUACAGUAGAUUGGCCAGACCAAAUCCCACCAUUGACAUUGAUGUUUCCAUGUAAAUUCCAGGAACAAGUAGGAGCUCGUUUUUCUUGUUGACAGUGAGCCCUGGAGCUUCUUCUAUGUCGAUAUCUCCGACCACCAUGCCUUCUGGCAAAUCCCAGUCAAAAUGAUACAACAUAUUCGCCAGACCAAACUCCACCAUUGUUGUACCCAUGUAUAUUCCAGGACAUAUUCUCCGGCCACCCCCAAACGGUAACAGCUCAAAGUGUUGUCCUUUUGCAUCAAUGUCACUAUCAAUAAACCUCUCCGGGAGAAACACUUCUGGGUCUUUCCAGGUCUCUGGAUCACGCCCGAUUGCCCAGACAUUCACAUGAACCCGUGUCUUGACUGGAAUCGUGUAGCCGUUGAUCUCGAAUUCAGACAUUACUUCUCUUGGAAGUAGAAUGGGUGUUGUAGGAUGUAGCCUCCAUGUUUCUUUUAUCACCAUUUUCAGAUCAAUCAUUUGUUCAUAGAAUGCAUCAAGGUCUUGCACGCUUUUCUCUCUCCGCCCUUGCAAACCUGUGAACCAGUCGAUGAUCCAUCCUACAUAGGGAAUAAAAUCUGAGGCAGGAAAGCUUCCCAACAUCUCGAGUGCCUCACGGACUAACUUAUUGAAAUUGUCACUGUUGAGCACAGUUCCCUCAAAGCUCACACCAAAUCCUGCCCUGCAUAUCACGCUUACAGUCAACGCUAGAAACGUCUUGUUCAAGUUGACCGGAGUUUUCAGAGAUGCUGAUUCGGCGAUUGAAGCUAUCAGUUUCUUGACCUCCUCCUCCUUGAUGGGUUGAAUCGAGUGAACUUGUUUAGUACUGAAGAGUUCUUGAACAGCUAGCUUUCUUACUUCUUUCCAGUAAUCAUCAUAAGGAGAGAAGGCA